rnacentral:piRNA from 1 species
UAGAAUCACCAUGUGGCGAUGUGAC